GGGGGGGGGGGGGGGGGGGGGGCCUGGGCGUCAAGUGAAGGGGGAUAACCUUAAAUAUAACCGAAAAUAUGAGGCAAACAGUUUUCAAUAUGGAUGACGCCAAAAUGGCUUCAUGGCUAUUGAGUAAGGAUUUCCUGUUAAGGAAAGCUUUUGGCGUAAAAAUCCACCAGACUGAAUGUCUGUCUUUCAGGAGAUAGUACAAAAGAUGACGUUUCAGACAACGCGCUUAUUUGUAUGAUGAAAUGACAAAAACAAUCCCCAUAAUGCGAUGUCCCCUUUGGCACGAGACACUGGGGUGUACCCCUUGCUUGUCAACCUCAAAGCCCGCCUAUGAAAAACGAUGUUGAAAGAGAUUAUUAGGAUUUUAGUAAUAUCAAGCAUAUCUUCAGAACCAAAUUAUCAUUUUAGUUAGUUUUUUCAUUCGUAUAAAUUACAGCUGAAAUAUUUCUAAUAUAUUAGUAUCAAAUUGUACAGUUAUGCAAAUAUUCCUAUACACACAACACCCUAGUCAUGAUCAUAAUU